CAGAGACACAGUCACAGAGACACAGAGACACAGAGAGAGAGUCACAGAGAUACACAGGCACAAAGACACAGUCACAGAGACUUAGAGACACAGACAUAGAGACACAGAGUCACAGCGACACAGAGACACUUAGACACAGAGACACAGUCUUCUUUUGUUUCAAAUGUUGGGUCAGGCUCUUGCACAGCACUGUGGACAGCCUUCCCAUUUGCCAACACUAGAUCUUCCAGGCAGCAUUGUUCACCAAGAAGUUGGUUUCUUAGUAGGUGCGGCAUGCAUUGUACAGAUGUUCCACAUUCCCAUUCUGUGUCUGCCGCAUCUGCAUAGGUCCAUUUGCUCAUAUUGGUCUUGCAUCGGCCCAUCCCAGUACGAAGCCUGUUGAGGGACUUCCAGGUCUUCCAGUCACACCUGUGACCAGGUGGUAGCUGUUCCUUGGUUGGGAUUGGCAUCUUUACAUGGUGGUGGUGGUGGUUUUCACUGUGUUUCUUUUCCCACAAGGCUAGUCUGGUUGUUUGAGGAGACUGUGACAGUGGCUGGACUGUGUGAAGGAAGCUCUUCCUCCACUUCUGCCGUUUUGGGGCUGGGUGAUGGGAGUGACAGGAAUGGCGGGUGUCCCCAACUUGCCCACUAUGUUCAGUACUACCGGCAGCUGAUCUGUGGAUUCCUAGUGGAGCAAUACCGGCCAAGACAUGCAAGCUAUCCACAGCAUCACAGAGUCACAUAGUCACAGAGACACAGUCACAGAGUCUCUUCAACCUAACUUGCCCAUGCAGACUAGGAUGCCCCAUCUACGCUGGUCUCACCUGCCCUCGUUUGGCCUAUAUCAAUCUAAAAUAUUUCUAUCCAUGUUCCUGUCCAAAUGUCUUUUAAAUGCUGUUAUCAAACCUACCUCAACUAGCUCCUCUGGCAGCUUGUUCCAUACACGUGGAUAUCAUUCAGGUUCCUGGUAAAUCAUUCCCCUCUCCACUUACACCCAUGUCCCAUGGUUCUUGAUACCCUUACCCUGUGUAAAAGAUUCCGUGCAUCAACCCACUCUGUUCCAAUAGUGAUAGAAAGCAAUGGCAUUCGGGUUAAUUUGGCUUAGAGCCUUAGAUAGGGUAGACGGUCAGAACCUUUUUCCCAGGAUGGAAAUAUCAAAGACCAGAGGGUAGAGUUUUACGGUGAGAGUGGCAACAUUUAAAGCAGAUGUGCAGAACACUUUUUACACAGAGGGUCAUGGGUGCCUGGAACAUGCUACUGGGGAUUGUAGUGGUGUUUCAGAGUCUUUUGGAUAGGCACUUAGAUAUGCAGGGAAUGGAGUGAUAUGGAUUAUGUGCAUGGGGAUAGAAGUUGAUCUUGGCAUCAUGCUUGGCACACACGUUAUGGGCCUCUAGUUCCCCCUCUCCCCUCAGUCUGGACCUGAAAACAUCACCCGUUCUUUUUUUUUUCCAGAGAUGCUGCCUGACCCGCUGAGUUCCCCUGUCCCACUUAGGAAACCUGGACGGAAACCUCUGGAGACCUUGCGGCCCUCCCAAGGUUUCCGUGAGGUUCCCGGAGGUUCCGGUCACUCUCCAUGAGUCACCAGAGGUUUUGGUCACGCCUGGAAAGCCUCGACCGAAGUGUGAGCUGCAACUAUUGAUCAAAUCUUUGCUGCCGACCGCACACACACAAACACAUCACAAAGGUGGGGGCCAGGAACAGCGGAGGUGCGCUAUCUGCCCAGAGAAGAGGAAGGUAAACAGCUGCCACAGAGCACAAAGCCAAUUAGACUACAAACCUGCAAGUCUUUGGAGUGUGGGAGGGAACUAGAGAAAACCCACGCGGUCACAGGGAGAUCGUACCAACUCCACACACAGCCAGCAGCCAAGGAUGUGAAACUGGGAUAACAUAGAACAGCGGAUUUUACCAUCGAGAGCUCGCAGUCUCGGAAGUGGCCGAAUCGGGAACUCCAACGACGCAGAGUCACGACCAGCCCCGACGUUGGGUCUGAUCGCUGGUGCGGGGAAGCUGACAUACCCCCCCCGAUGCAGGAGUUGAUCGCCCCGAUGCGGAGGGCCCAAACGCCGCCCUACGACAGUCAAGAUCGUCCCGUCAAAGGAGGGCUCGAGGCCCCCGACUGCGGGAGAACAAUGAAAGGAAGAGAUUGAACUAUUUUUCACUUUCCGUCACAGUGAGGAAUGUGAAGGAGUCACUGUGGUGGAUGUUUAUGUUUGACUAACCCGACCGUGGGAGGACAAAGAGGAAGAAGAUUGAACUUUAUUCCCCUCCAUCACAGUGAGCAAUGGGGAAUCCACUGUGGUGGAUGUUUAUGUUACCUUUUAUGUGGUUGCUUUUCACUUAGUAUGGCUGUAUGGUAACUCAAAUUUCACUGUACCUUACCUGGUGCAUGUGACAAUAAACUGUCCUUGAAACUCUGAAACAGGAGCACCCGGACAAAUCCCAUGUGGUCACAGCGCCCGGGGUAAGGAUUGAACCCGGGUCUCUGGCGAUGUGAGGCAGCAGCUCUACCUGCUGCGCCAACAUGACGUUGAGAUAAUGAAGUUAUACAAGAAGCACAAUCAGAAUCUUAUUCCCAUGCGUGGAAUCGUCCAACACGUGAGGCCAUCACCAUAAGGUGAGAGGGGGAAAGUUUAAGGGGAUGCACGGGGUGAGUCUUUUUACACAGAGAGUGGUGGAGAUCUGGAACACAUUGCCUAGGUGUGGUGGUGGAGGCAGGUACGAUAGUGGCAUUUAGGAGGCUUUUAGAUAGGCAUGUGGAUGUGCAGGGAAUGUAGGGAUAUGGAUCAACUGCAGGCAGAUGAGACCUGUUUAGUUGUCUCAUAAAUUCAUUUCGUUGUCUCAAAUUAAGACAAUGACAAUA